GGCCCCAUCGUCUAACGGUUANNGGUUAGGACAUCAGGUUCUCAUCCUGAAAAUUCGGGUUCGAUUCCCGGUGGGGUCACCA
rnacentral:tRNA from 1 species